rnacentral:rRNA from 1 species
UACGGGGGGGGCAAGCGUUGUUCGGAAUUACUGGGCGUAAAGGGCUCGUAGGUGGCCAACUAAGUCAGACGUGAAAUCCCUCGGCUUAACCGGGGAACUGCGUCUGAUACUGGAUGGCUUGAGUUUGGGAGAGGGAUGCGGAAUUCCAGGUGUAGCGGUGAAAUGCGUAGAUAUCUGGAGGAACACCGGUGGCGAAGGCGGCAUCCUGGACCAACACUGACACUGAGGAGCGAAAGCCAGGGUAGCAAACGGG